AGAGUUUGAUCCUGGCUCAGAGCGAACGCUGGCGGCAGGCUUAACACAUGCAAGUCGAGCGGGCGUAGCAAUACGUCAGCGGCAGACGGGUGAGUAACGCGUGGGAACGUACCUUUUGGUUCGGAACAACCCAGGGAAACUUGGGCUAAUACCGGAUAAGCCCUUACGGGGAAAGAUUUAUCGCCGAAAGAUCGGCCCGCGUCUGAUUAGCUAGUUGGUGAGGUAACGGCUCACCAAGGCGACGAUCAGUAGCUGGUCUGAGAGGAUGAUCAGCCACAUUGGGACUGAGACACGGCCCAAACUCCUACGGGAGGCAGCAGUGGGGAAUAUUGGACAAUGGGCGCAAGCCUGAUCCAGCCAUGCCGCGUGAGUGAUGAAGGCCCUAGGGUUGUAAAGCUCUUUUGUGCGGGAAGAUAAUGACGGUACCGCAAGAAUAAGCCCCGGCUAACUUCGUGCCAGCAGCCGCGGUAAUACGAAGGGGGCUAGCGUUGCUCGGAAUCACUGGGCGUAAAGGGUGCGUAGGCGGGUCUUUAAGUCAGGGGUGAAAUCCUGGAGCUCAACUCCAGAACUGCCUUUGAUACUGAAGAUCUUGAGUUCGGGAGAGGUGAGUGGAACUGCGAGUGUAGAGGUGAAAUUCGUAGAUAUUCGCAAGAACACCAGUGGCGAAGGCGGCUCACUGGCCCGAUACUGACGCUGAGGCACGAAAGCGUGGGGAGCAAACAGGAUUAGAUACCCUAGUAGUCC
rnacentral:rRNA from 1 species